UACGAAGGGGGCUAGCGUUGCUCGGAAUGACUGGGCGUAAAGGGCGCGUAGGCGGAUGGUACAGUCAGAUGUGAAAUUCCCGGGCUCAACCUGGGGGCUGCAUUUGAUACGUGCUGUCUUGAGUUCGGAAGAGGGUCGUGGAAUUCCCAGUGUAGAGGUGAAAUUCGUAGAUAUUGGGAAGAACACCCGUGGCGAAGGCGGCUCUCUGGAACGCAACUGACGCUGAGACGCGAAAGCGUGGGGAGCAAACAGG
rnacentral:rRNA from 1 species